rnacentral:rRNA from 1 species
AGAGUUUGAUCCUGGCUCAGAUUGAACGCUGGCGGCGUGCUUAACACAUGCAAGUCGAUCGGUAACGCGGGGCAACCUGGCGACGAGAGGCGGACGGGUGAGUAACGCUUGGGAAUCUGCCUACUAAUGGGGGAUAACCCGGGGAAACUCGGGCUAAUACCGCAUACGCACUACGGUGGAAAGCCGGGGACCUUCGGGCCUGGCGUUAGUAGAUGAGCCCAAGUCGGAUUAGCUAGUUGGCGGGGUAACGGCCCACCAAGGCGACGAUCCGUAGCUGGUCUGAGAGGACGACCAGCCACACCGGAACUGAGACACGGUCCGGACUCCUACGGGAGGCAGCAGUGGGGAAUAUUGGACAAUGGGGGCAACCCUGAUCCAGCGACGCCGCGUGGGUGAAGAAGGCCUGCGGGUUGUAAA